UACGUAGGAGGCGAGCGUUGUCCGGAGUUACUGGGCGUAAAGGGUGCGCAGGCGGCCCGCCGCGUGGGGGGUGAAAUCUCCUCGCUCAACGAGGAGGGGGCUUCCCAGACGGGCGGGCUUGAGCGGCGGAGGGGGGCGCGGAAUUCCGGGUGGAGCGGUGAAAUGCGUAGAGAUCCGGAAGAACACCGACGGCGAAGGCAGCGCCCUGGACGCCGGCUGACGCUCGGGCACGAAAGCGCGGGGAGCGAACAGG
rnacentral:rRNA from 1 species